rnacentral:tRNA from 1 species
GCAGUGGUGAUUCAGUGGCAGAAUUCUUGCCUCCCAUGCAGGAGACCCAGGUUUGAUUCCCAGCCAGUGCA